rnacentral:rRNA from 1 species
UACGUAGGGGGCAAGCGUUGUCCGGAAUCAUUGGGCGUAAAGCGCGUGUAGGCGGCUCGGUAAGUCCGCUCUGAAAGUCCAGGGCUCAACCCUGGGAUGCGGGUGGAUACUGCCGGGCUCGAGUCCGGAAGAGGCGAGUGGAAUUCCCGGUGUAGCGGUGAAAUGCGCAGAUAUCGGGAGGAACACCAAUGGCGAAAGCAGCUCUCUGGGACGGUACUGACGCUGAGACGCGAAAGCGUGGGGAGCGAACAGG